GAUGAAGAACGUAGCGAAAUGCGAUAAGUAGUGUGAAUUGCAGAAUUCAGUGAAUCAUCGAAUCUUUGAACGCACAUUGCGCCCCUUGGUAUCCCGAGGGGCAUGCCUGUUCGAGCGUCAUUUCACCACUCAAGCCUGGCUGGGUGUUGGGCGACGUCCCCUUUGGGGACGCGCCUCGAAACGCUCGGCGGCGUGGCACCGGCUUUAAGCGUAGCAGAAUCUUUCGCUUUGGAAGUCGGGGCCCCGUCUGCCGGAAGACCUACUCGCAAGGUUGACCUCGGAUCAGGCAGGGAUACCCGCUGAACUUAAGCAUAUCAAUAAGCGGAGGA
rnacentral:misc_RNA from 1 species